rnacentral:rRNA from 1 species
AGCAGCCGCGGUAAUUCCGGCACCAAUAGCGUAUAUUAAAGUUGUUGCAGUUAAAAAGCUCGUAGUUGAAUUUCAGGCCUGGCUGGACGGUCCGCCCUUCGGGUGAGUACUGUCUGUGGUCGGGUCCUACCUUCUGGCGAAGCGUCAUGGCCUUAACCGGCCGUGGCGGGGAACCAGGACUUUUACUGUGAAAAAAUUAGAGUGUUCAAAGCAGGCAAUCGCUUGGAUACAUUAGCAUGGAAUAAUGGAAUAGGACAAUGGUUCUAUUUGUUGGUUUCUAGGACCGUUGUAAUGAUUAAUAGGGAUAGUUGGGGGCAUUAGUAUUCAAUUGUCAGAGGUGAAAUUCUUGGAUUUAUUGAAGACUAACUACUGCGAAAGCAUUUGCCAAGGAUGUUUUCAUUAAUCAAGAACGAAAGUUAGGGGAUCGAAGACGAUCAGAUACCGUCGUAGUCUUAACCAUAAACUAUGCCGACUAGGAAUCGGGCGAUGUUGAAAAAAUGACGC